AUUGAACGCUGGCGGCAGGCCUAACACAUGCAAGUCGAACGAGUGGCGGACGGGUGAGUAAUGUCUGGGAAACUGCCUGAUGGAGGGGGAUAACUACUGGAAACGGUAGCUAAUACCGCAUACCAUCAGAUGUGCCCAGAUGGGAUUAGCUAGUUGGUGUGGUAACGGCUCACCAAGGCGACUAUCCCUAGCUGGUCUGAGAGGAUGACAAGGCACACGGGAACUGAGAAACGGUCCAGACUACAAUGGGAGGCAGCAGUGGGGAAUAUUGCACAAGGGGCGCAAGCCGGAUGCAGCCAUGCCGCGUGUAGGAAGAAGGUCUGCGGGUUGUAAAGUACUUUCAGCGGGGAGGCGUUACCCGCAGAAGAAGCACCGGCUAACUCCGUGCCAGCAGCCGCGGUAAUAC
rnacentral:rRNA from 1 species